rnacentral:rRNA from 1 species
GAUGAACGCUAGCGGCAGGCUUAACACAUGCAAGUCGAGGGGUAUUGGUUUUCGGACCAAGAGACCGGCGCACGGGUGCGUAACGCGUAUGCAAUCUACCUUUUGCAGAGGGAUAGCCCAGAGAAAUUUGGAUUAAUACCUCAUAGUAUAGUACUUUGGCAUCAAGGAACUAUUAAAGUCACAACGGCAAAAGAUGAGCAUGCGUCCCAUUAGCUAGUUGGUAAGGUAACGGCUUACCAAGGCUACGAUGGGUAGGGGUCCUGAGAGGGAGAUCCCCCACACUGGUACUGAGACACGGACCAGACUCCUACGGGAGGCAGCAGUGAGGAAUAUUGGACAAUGGGCGCAAGCCUGAUCCAGCCAUGCCGCGUGCAGGAUNACGGUCCUAUGGAUUGUAAACUGCUUUGUACAGGAAGAAACACUCCGACGUGUCGGAGCUUGACGGUACUGUAAGAAUAA